GGAGGAGAAUAAAAGGGAGAAGUCAGUGCUUUCUCAGUUUAGCCAGUGGUUUACCCAGUCGUUCUCUGAACCCGCGGGUUUCACUUGCGUGGUUUCGCAUACUCGGAUUCAAUAACGAAGGAUCCUCCGUUGGUUGAAUCACUUCAGAAUUGACACUUUAAGGAAAACAGCCAUGGUCCAGCAUGAAGCCAACUAAGCUCUCUUAUAACAUAAAGGCAAAUAUGCUGAAUAAACUGUACUUUUAAAAAUAACAUAGCAAGGCAUUCCAAACCAAUGAAAGGUGGGGAGAGAGAGAGAAGAGAAUCUCCAGUUGCCAAAAGCAGAAAAACAUCAAAAUAGGUUGGAAUUAGAGGAAUCACCAUUUCCGCCCCCUCACUCAGGGAGUCAUGGUUUCCUGUAGCACCAUACUGCAAGUAAUUUCCUACCUCCCUCUGAGAUUCUGUGCCUUCAAAUUUUGGAGGAAGCUGGCACAUAAGAGCAGCUAAGAGUGCCCCGUGAUGCCCUCUAUCUUCUAUUCCUCUCCUUCCAGAGUCUUUGUGCCAUUCUUCAAAAAGUAAGUAGAAAACAUUACAUUGGUUGACAUGACAUAACCUGUGAUGAGGCCGUCGAGUGGAUAGAGAUUUAGGGUUUGGGAUUGGCAAGCCACAUGGCAAGGGCCACCUGCUCACUGGCACGUCCGCCCUCAGCAUACAUCUUUUCUCUUUGAAACUGGGUAAUUGCCAGCACUUUUUAUGAGGCCACUGGCACUGUGGGGCUGAGGGUCUGAAUUGCCCACAUCUACUAAGAGCCAAAGAGGACAGUGUUGGGACUAACUGAAAUUGUAUUCAGAAUUCUACCCAAAAGCUUUAGUUGUAAGCUUUAUCCCUCCUGAAACGUUUCUUUCCCUUUAAAAAAAUAUUUUGUUAAAAAACACUAUGAUAUGAGGGCGAUAGACUAUUUGGUUUCUUCUAAGUAGAUGCUCUUAAAUUAAUGCAUAUAAAUAAUUUGUAUUUAAUCUCCUCUCUUUCCUGUUGAGCAAAGCAUAGAAUGC
rnacentral:lncRNA from 1 species